rnacentral:rRNA from 1 species
GAUGAACGCUGGCGGCGUGCCUAAUACAUGCAAGUCGAGCGAACAGACGAGGAGCUUGCUCCUCUGACGUUAGCGGCGAACGGGUGAGUAACACGUGGAUAACCUACCUAUAAGACUGGGAUAACUUCGGGAAACCGGAGCUAAUACCGGAUAAUAUAUUGAACCGCAUGGUUCAAUAGUGAAAGACGGUUUUGCUGUCACUUAUAGAUGGAUCCGCGCCGCAUUAGCUAGUUGGUAAGGUAACGGCUUACCAAGGCAACGAGGCGUAGCCGACCUGAGAGGGUGAUCGGCCACACUGGAACUGAGACACGGUCCAGACUCCUACGGGAGGCAGCAGUAGGGAAUCUUCCGCAAUGGGCGAAAGCCUGACGGAGCAACGCCGCGUGAGUGAUGAAGGUCUUCGGAUCGUAAAACUCUGUUAUUAGGGAAGAACAAAUGUGUAAGUAACUAUGCACGUCUUGACGGUACCUAAUCAGAAAGCCACGGCUAACUACGUG